rnacentral:rRNA from 1 species
AACGAACGCUGGCGGCAUGCCUAACACAUGCAAGUCGAACGAGACCUUCGGGUCUAGUGGCGCACGGGUGCGUAACGCGUGGGAACCUGCCCUUAGGUUCGGAAUAACUCCCCGAAAGGGGUGCUAAUACCGGAUAAUGUCUUCGGACCAAAGAUUUAUCGCCUUUGGAUGGGCCCGCGUUGGAUUAGCUAGUUGGGAGGGUAAAAGCCUACCAAAGCGACGAUUCAUAGCUGGUCUGAGAGGAUGAUCAGCCACACUGGGAAUGGGACACGGCCCAGACUCCUACGGGAGGGACGAGGGGGGAAUAAUGGAAAAUGGGCGGAAGCCUGAACCAGCAAUGCCCCGGUAAUUAUGAAGGGCUUAGGGGUGUAAAGCUCUUUUACCCGGGAUGAUAAUGACAGUACCGGGAGAAUAAGCGCCGGCUAACUCCGUG